rnacentral:rRNA from 1 species
UACGAAGGGGGCUAGCGUUGUUCGGAUUUACUGGGCGUAAAGCGCACGUAGGCGGGUCGUUAAGUCAGGGGUGAAAUCCCGGAGCUCAACUCCGGAACUGCCUUUGAUACUGGCGACCUAGAGUCCGGAAGAGGUGAGUGGAACUCCUAGUGUAGAGGUGGAAUUCGUAGAUAUUAGGAAGAACACCGGUGGCGAAGGCGGCCCACUGGCUCGAUACUGACGCUGAGGUGCGAAAGCGUGGGGAGCAAACAGG